rnacentral:rRNA from 1 species
ACGCUGGCGGCGUGCCUAAUACAUGCAAGUAGAACGCUGAAGGAGGAGCUUGCUUCUCUGGAUGAGUUGCGAACGGGUGAGUAACGCGUAGGUAACCUGCCUGGUAGCGGGGGAUAACUAUUGGAAACGAUAGCUAAUACCGCAUAACAGUAGAUGUUGCAUGACAUUUGCUUAAAAGGUGCAAUUGCAUCACUACCAGAUGGACCUGCGUUGUAUUAGCUAGUUGGUGGGGUAACGGCUCACCAAGGCGACGAUACAUAGCCGACCUGAGAGGGUGAUCGGCCACACUGGGACUGAGACAUGGCCCAGACUCCUACGGGAGGCAGCAGUAGGGAAUCUUCGGCAAUGGACGGAAGUCUGACCGAGCAACGCCGCGUGAGUGAAGAAGGUUUUCGGAUCGUAAAGCUCUGUUGUAAGAGAAGAACAGGUGUGAGAGUGGAAAGUUCACACUGUGACGGUAUCUUACCAGAAAGGGACGGCUAACUACGUGCCAGCAGCCGCGGUAAUACGUAGGUCCCGAGCGUUGUCCGGAUUUAUUGGGCGUAAAGCGAGCGCAGGCGGUUAGAUAAGUCUGAAGUUAAAGGCUGUGGCUUAACCAUAGUACGCUUUGGAAACUGUUUAACUUGAGUGCAAGAGGGGAGAGUGGAAUUCCAUGUGUAGCGGUGAAAUGCGUAGAUAUAUGGAGGAACACCGGUGGCGAAAGCGGCUCUCUGGCUUGUAACUGACGCUGAGGCUCGAAAGCGUGGGGAGCAAACAGGAUUAGAUACCCUGGUAGUCCACGCCGUAAACGAUGAGUGCUAGGUGUUAGACCCUUUCCGGGGUUUAGUGCCGCAGCUAACGCAUUAAGCACUCCGCCUGGGGAGUACGACCGCAAGGUUGAAACUCAAAGGAAUUGACGGGGGCCCGCACA